AAAUUAAUCCUUCGCCUUUUUAUUGGAGAAUCCUCACAACCUGUCAUGUUUACAGGAUGUAAGAACAACAAAAAGUUAAACAAAGCCAAGUCCUCAAGAAGCUAUGCUGUUACACACAUGUGGUGAGUGGUGCUCGUCAGCUACUUAUACGACAAGUUUCAUGCUGGACCAACCAUGCCUCAUCUGACAUGCAUGCUGAUGUGCAUAUGCACCCCUCCCCUCCUGUUACUUAACAUCUCCCCUUUGAUUUGCUCAACUUUCCGUCUACAUAUUUAGGCACAAGUUGUAUUUAUUUGAAGGUACGGAAUGAAGUAUUUCUUAAUACAGUCUUGAUAUACCA